GUCGCAAGACCAAAGUGGGGGACCUUCGGGCCUCAUGCCAUCAGAUGUGCCCAGAUGGGAUUAGCUAGUAGGUGGGGUAACGGCUCACCUAGGCGACGAUCCCUAGCUGGUCUGAGAGGAUGACCAGCCACACUGGAACUGAGACACGGUCCAGACUCCUACGGGAGGCAGCAGUGGGGAAUAUUGCACAAUGGGCGCAAGCCUGAUGCAGCCAUGCCGCGUGUGUGAAGAAGGCCUUCGGGUUGUAAAGCACUUUCAGCGGGGAGGAAGGCGUUAAGGUUAAUAACCUUGUCGAUUGACGUUACCCGCAGAAGAAGCACCGGCUAACUCCGUGCCAGCAGCCGCGGUAAUACGGAGGGUGCAAGCGUUAAUCGGAAUUACUGGGCGUAAAGCGCACGCAGGCGGUCUGUCAAGUCGGAUGUGAAAUCCCCGGGCUCAACCUGGGAACUGCAUUCGAAACUGGCAGGCUAGAGUCUUGUAGAGGGGGGUAGAAUUCCAGGUGUAGCGGUGAAAUGCGUAGAGAUCUGGAGGAAUACCGGUGGCGAAGGCGGCCCCCUGGACAAAGACUGACGCUCAGGUGCGAAAGCGUGGGGAGCAAACAGGAUUAGAUACCCUGGUAGUCCACGCCGUAAACGAUGUCGAUUUGGAGGUUGUGCCCUUGAGGCGUGGCUUCCGGAGCUAACGCGUUAAAUCGACCGCCUGGGGAGUACGGCCGCAAGGUUAAAACUCAAAUGAAUUGACGGGGGCCCGCACAAGCGGUGGAGCAUGUGGUUUAAUUCGAUGCAACGCGAAGAACCUUACCUGGUCUUGACAUCCACAGAACUUUCCAGAGAUGGAUUGGUGCCUUCGGGAACUGUGAGACAGGUGCUGCAUGGCUGUCGUCAGCUCGUGUUGUGAAAUGUUGGGUUAAGUCCCGCAACGAGCGCAACCCUUAUCCUUUGUUGCCAGCGGU
rnacentral:rRNA from 1 species